rnacentral:rRNA from 1 species
UUAGCAUAUCAAUAAGCGGAGGAAAAGAAACCAACAGGGAUUGCCCCAGUAACGGCGAGUGAAGCGGCAACAGCUCAAAUUUGAAAUCUGGCCCUUGCAGGGUCCGAGUUGUAAUUUGCAGAGGGUGCUUUGGCGUCGGCUGUGGUCUAAGUUCCUUGGAACAGGACGUCGCAGAGGGUGAGAAUCCCGUAUGUGGCCGCCAGUCUUCGCCGUGUAAAGCCCCUUCGACGAGUCGAGUUGUUUGGGAAUGCAGCUCUAAAUGGGAGGUAAAUUUCUUCUAAAGCUAAAUAUUGGCCAGAGACCGAUAGCGCACAAGUAGAGUGAUCGAAAGAUGAAAAGCACUUUGGAAAGAGAGUCAAAAAGCACGUGAAAUUGUUGAAAGGGAAGCGCUUGCAGCCAGACUUGCCCGCAGUUGCUCAUCCGGGCUCGCGCCCGGUGCACUCUUCUGCGGGCAGGCCAGCAUCAGUCCGGGCGGUCGGAUAAAGGUCUGCGGCAUGUACCUCCCCUCGGGGAGGACUUAUAGGGUAGACGACAUGCGACCAGCCUGGAUUGAGGUCCGCGCAUCUGCUAGGAUGCUGGCGUAAUGGCUGUAAGCGGCCCGUCUUGAAACACGGACCAAGGAGUCUAACAUCUAUGCGAGUGUUUGGGUGUCAAGCCCAAGCGCGCAAUGAAAGUGAACGGAGGUGGGAACCCCUCGGGGCGCACCAUCGACCGAUCCUGAUGUCUUCGGAUGGAUUUGAGUAAGAGCAUAGCUGUUGGGACCCGAAAGAUGGUGAACUAUGCCUGAAUAGGGUGAAGCCAGAGGAAACUCUGGUGGAGGCUCGCAGCGGUUCUGACGUGCAAAUCGAUCGUCAAAUUUGGGCAUAGGGGCGAAAGACUAAUCGAACUAUCUAGUAGCUGGUCUGCGA